UACAGAGGUCUCGAGCGUUAGGCGGAAUCACUGGGCUUAAAGCGCGUGUAGGCGGGUGGGAACGUCGGCCACUGAAAGCCCCCGGCUCAACCGGGGAAGGGGUGCCGAAACGGCCCGCCUGGAGGGGCGUAGGGGGACCUGGAACUUCCGGUGGAGCGGUGAAAUGCGUUGAGAUCGGAAGGAACGCCCGUGGCGAAAGCGAGGUCCUGGACGUCAUCUGACGCUGAGACGCGAAAGCUAGGGGAGCGAACGGG
rnacentral:rRNA from 1 species